CCGGGGAUUAGUGGCGAACGGGUGAGUAACACGUGGGCAAUCUGCCCUGCACUCUGGGAUAAGCCCGGGAAACUGGGUCUAAUACCGGAUACGACACAUGAGGGCAUCCUCGUGUGUGGAAAGUUCCGGCGGUGCAGGAUGAGCCCGCGGCCUAUCAGCUUGUUGGUGGGGUAGUGGCCUACCAAGGCGACGACGGGUAGCCGGCCUGAGAGGGUGACCGGCCACACUGGGACUGAGACACGGCCCAGACUCCUACGGGAGGCAGCAGUGGGGAAUAUUGCACAAUGGGCGAAAGCCUGAUGCAGCGACGCCGCGUGAGGGAUGACGGCCUUCGGGUGUAAACCUCUUUCAGCAGGGAAGAAGCGAAAGUGACGGUACCUGCAGAAGAAGCACCGGCUAACUACGUGCCAGCAGCCGCGGUAAUACGUAGGGUGCAAGCGUUGUCCGGAAUUAUUGGGCGUAAAGAGCUCGUAGGCGGCCUGUCGCGUCGAUUGUGAAAGCCCAGGGCUUAACCCUGGGUCUGCAGUCGAUACGGGCAGGCUAGAGUUCGGUAGGGGAGAUCGGAAUUCCUGGUGUAGCGGUGAAAUGCGCAGAUAUCAGGAGGAACACCGGUGGCGAAGGCGGAUCUCUGGGCCGAUACUGACGCUGAGGAGCGAAAGCGUGGGGAGCGAACAGGAUUAGAUACCCUGGUAGUCCACGCCGUAAACGGUGGGCACUAGGUGUGGGCAACAUUCCACGUUGUCCGUGCCGCAGCUAACGCAUUAAGUGCCCCGCCUGGGGAGUACGGCCGCAAGGCUAAAACUCAAA
rnacentral:rRNA from 1 species